CAUCCACUGGGGCAACUGAGGCCAGCAGAAGGGAUGUCGUACCAGGAUGUGAAGCCUCCCACAGCCCUUGCCCCAGGCAGCACCUCUACUGACACUGGCACAUGGGGUGUUCUCCAUUUCCAUGUGCGAUGCUUCUUGUCCAGGCAGAUGUCCAGGUACCCAUGCAGCAGGAACACUUUGGAGUGAGCCGCUCGCUGCGAUCAUGACUGUUGUGAAACAGUUUAACUUCCUACGGGAGCAGCAGCCCUCGCCUGUCAGCCUGUGCCUGGCGCUCACAACGCCUCCAGCAUUCACAGCCCUGCUUCCUUAUCCCUGACGUGCACACAUGCACGCUCCUGCACGCACACCCCGUCCCUCCUCCGGCAUGCCAUUUCCCAAGGGCCUGCCCGGGGCAUGUGCUGGAAAAGGGGAUGUGGUGACGUGCUGGGGGAUACAGGGCUCCCAGCUCCAGUGGGGGAUGCAUGAAAAAGAUGGAUACAGGUCCUGCUGGGACAACGCCAAGGAGGCAGCUCUAUCACCGCAGCCAGCAGCUCCUUGGGUGGGUGGAUGGUGGUUGUACAUGGACCACAGCCCCCUUGCUGUGUGGGUUAUCCCACACGCCAGGAGCAGCCGGGCAGCAGGCACAGCUUUCAGGCAGACGCAUGCCCAUGGGGGGAUGUCGGAUGCCGUGGCCGCUGCGGAAGCUCAGCGGUGCUCCCAGGAGGUGACUCUUUAGGAAGUGGGUGCGUCCUGCCGGUGCGGCCACGGGAGGCCCAGCGGGAACUGCGUGGGAGCCAGGAGAGCCGUGGAGCGGGCUGGGCCCUGGC